AGAGCGAACGCUGGCGGCGUGCUUAACACAUGCAAGUCGAACGCGCAGCAUUCUGUAGCAAUACAGGGUGUGGGCGCGUGGCGAACGGGUGCGUAACACGUGGAUAACCUUCCUUGAGGUGGGGAAUAACCCAGUGAAAAUUGGGCUAAUACCGCAUAACAUCGCGAUGGCACAUGCUGAUGCGAUCAAAGGCGCAAGUCGCCACAAGAGGGAUCCGCGGCCGAUUAGCUUGUUGGCGAGGCAAUGGCUCACCAAGGCAAUGAUCGGUA
rnacentral:rRNA from 1 species